rnacentral:rRNA from 1 species
GAUGAACGCUGGCGGCAGGCCUAACACAUGCAAGUCGAGGGGCAGCACAGAAACAGCAAUGUUUUGGUGGCGACCGGCGGACGGGUGCGUAACGCGUAUGCAACCUACCUUUAACAGGGGGAUAACGGAGAGAAAUUUCCACUAAUACCCCAUAACAUCGAUCAAGGCAUCUUGAUUGGUUGAAAACUCCGGUGGUUAAAGAUGGGCAUGCGUUGUAUUAGGUAGUUGGUGAGGUAAUGGCUCACCAAGCCUACGAUACAUAGGGGGACUGGGAGGUUAGCCCCCCACACUGGUACUGAGACACGGACCCAACUCCUACGGGAGGCAGCAGUAAGGAAUAUUGGUCAAUGGGGGCAACCCUGAACCAGCCAUGCCGCGUGCAGGAAGACGGCUCUAUGAGUUGUAAACUGCUUUUAAACAGGGAUAAAGCACAGUAUGUAUACUGUGUUGAAGGUACUGUAAGAAUAAGGAUCGGCUAACUCCGUGCCAGCCGCCGCCGUAA